AACCAAUAGAAAUUUUGGGCGACUCUUUCUAACUGCUCACACUGUCUAGGAUGUCCGGCGACGCUUCUCAAGCAAACGUGCGUGUUGUCGUCCGCAGAAAACGAGUCCGAACAGCAAAUUGAGUCGUUGCAUGGUCCUGCCGUUCGGGUCCUCGACGAUAACUGCCUCAUCUUCCAGGCUUGAUCGACCCUAUCGACGAAUAAGACAGCUUUAUCCAGGACAACCACGAACCAAAUCUCGCAAUGCGUCCAAGAAAAGAGAGAGAGACGUCAGAUUCGCAUUCGACCGCGUGUUCGAAGGCAACUCGACUCAAGAGGAGGUUUAUUUGGGCACGACCGGAGGCGUAGUUUGUCGCGUCAUGAGCGGAGUGAAUUGUUCUGUGUUUGCGUACGGAGCCACGGGCGCUAGCAAGUCACGUACACGAUGCUGGGCAGCAGCGAAGAGUUUGGAGUGACAUUCAGAACCGUGCAGGAGUUGUUUGACCUGAUUGAUUUGAAGCAGGAGGAAAUCAGUUGUGAGGAGCAUUGGCUGUUUGAGAAGAUCCUGUCAAAGGCGUUUCCAUCAGGAGUCUCUUGUACAAACCUCAGAGUGCAGCUUAGCGUCUGGAGAUGUUUCGUCGUCGCAACGAGAACAGUACACAACAUCCAACUGAUGCAAUUCUUGGUCAUCUUGAUUACAUGCUAUGUUUUAGGUGAUUGUUCAACAAAAGCCUUGUACAUCAGGAUUGUCCAUGCAGUUCAAAGUAGCCAAGUUGUCUCUCAUUGAUCUGGCUGGGUCAGAAUGUGCUACCAUGACUGCAAAUCGUGGAAUGCGUCUCAGAGAGGGUGCCAACAUCAAUCGAUCCCUUUUCACUCUGGACAUGCAACUGCUUCAAUGCGUUAGUCGAACAGAAGACUGGAAGUAGAAAAGCUAUUCAGGUGCUGUACAGAGAUGGCAAGUUGAGGACGUUGUUGAAAGACUCACUUGGAGGAAACUGCUCCACAGUCAUGGUGCCCAACAUGAGAUCUCACUGACAUCGAAGCACGAAGAGAUGUAAUUGCAAAGGGUCAGAUAAAGGAGUAUAUACAAAGAAUGAAGGUGAUCGGAAAGGAGAAUGCUCAGAGUCUCAGAUCAUAUCUCGGACAUUGUCUUAUCUCGGACACCCACGCCUUCUGCUCGCUGCGAUCUGCAUUUGUUCUGUUGCUGUAUGGCUAGCUCCAGUGUUGACCAACUUUGUGGCUGAGAAAUUUGGACACGCUAUCUAAUCUCAGAUAACUGCUCCCAUGCGGGGAAGACUAACGGUGUCUCACCACCGGUUGGCUCAUAGGAGAGAGACUCACCAGCAGAAUGCUGGCUCACGUGACCUAAUUUCGGACACCUUUACUGAACCAGUGUAGUGUUCUGCAACCAUGGAAUGGCAACACUAAUUAGACCGAAGUUUGGGCAAGAAUGUACGGGAACUUGAUGAUAGAUGGAGACUGUGUGGGCGCAGAAAGCUUGAAGAAGGACUAGAUCAGGUCAUUUUUGAGACUGAAAUAAUAAGCUCGAAUUGUCACCGUUAGCCAUGCAGUUACCUGGAUUGCCUCAGUCCACAAGGGCAAGACUGCAUAUAGCAACAGAGCCUUCUAAUUAAAUUAAUUGUAGUUUUACUUACUAAUUUUCACUAUUGUACCAGCACUAUCUGGAGACUUUAUGUGGGCAUGCCCAUGAAUACAAUUUGUUGUUAGCAAUGGAAAUACAAUAGGUAUCCUUGUAGACAGACUAUUAUAGGUUACACAAAGAGAUUUCAAUCUAAAUUAACUUAAAUUCUUUCAGUAUGUUCCACUGUGUUGGUGU